UACAGAGGUGGCAAGCGUUGUUCGGAAUUACUGGGCGUAAAGGGCGCGUAGGCGGCCCGCCAAGUCCCGUGUGAAAGCCCCCGGCUCAACCGGGGAACGGCGCGGGAAACUAGCAGGCUUGAGUUCGGGAGAGGGAAGCGGAAUUCCGGGUGUAGCGGUGAAAUGCGCAGAUAUCCGGAGGAACACCGGUGGCGAAGGCGGCUUCCUGGACCGACACUGACGCUGAGGCGCGAAAGCUAGGGGAGCAAAC
rnacentral:rRNA from 1 species